UACGGAAGGCAGCAGGGGGAAUAUUGCACAAUGGGCGCAAGCCUGAUGCAGCCAUGCCGCGUGUAUGAAAAAGGCCUUCGGGUUGUAAAGUACUUUCAGUCGUGAGGAAGGUGUUAAGGUUAAUAACCUUAGCAAUUGACGUUAGCGACAGAAGAAGCACCGGCUAACUCCGUGCCAGCAGCCGCGGUAAUACGGAGGGUGCGAGCGUUAAUCGGAAUUACUGGGCGUAAAGGGCACGCAGGCGGUUAAUUAAGUUGGAUGUGAAAUCCCCGGGCUUAACCUGGGAAUGGCAUUCAAGACUGGUUAGCUAGAGUCUUGUAGAGGGGGUAGAAUUCCAUGUGUAGCGGUGAAAUGCGUAGAGAUGUGGAGGAAUACCGGUGGCGAAGGCGGCCCCUGGACAAAGACUGACGCUCAUGUGCGAAAGCGUGGGGAGCGAAACAGGGAUUAGGAUACCCGU
rnacentral:rRNA from 1 species